GUGAGGAAUAUUGCGCAAUGGGGGAAACCCUGACGCAGCAACGCCGCGUGAGUGAGGAAGGUCUUCGGAUUGUAAAACUCUUUUAUUAGGGAAAAAUGUCUAGGUGGCUAAUAUCCACUUAGAGUGAUGGUACCUAAGGAAUAAGCACCGGCUAACUUCGUGCCAGCAGCCGCGGUAAUACGAAGGGUGCAAGCGUUGUUCGGAAUCAUUGGGCGUAAAGCGCGCGCAGGCGGGUCAGUAAGUCAGGUGUGAAAUCUCGGAGCUCAACUCCGAAACUGCGCCUGAAACUAUUGGUCUAGAGUAUCGGAGGGGACAGGGGAAUUUCACGUGUAGGGGUAAAAUCCGUAGAGAUGUGAAGGAACACCGGAGGCGAAGGCGCCUGUCUGGACGAUUACUGACGCUGAGGCGCGAAAGCGUGGGGAGCAAACAGGAUUAGAUACCCGGGUAGUCC
rnacentral:rRNA from 1 species